AUCGAACGCUGGCGGCAGGCCUAACACAUGCAAGUCGAGCGGAUGAAGGGAGCUUGCUCCUGGAUUCAGCGGCGGACGGGUGAGUAAUGCCUAGGAAUCUGCCUGGUAGUGGGGGAUAACGUCCGGAAACGGGCGCUAAUACCGCAUACGUCCUGAGGGAGAAAGUGGGGGAUCUUCGGACCUCACGCUAUCAGAUGAGCCUAGGUCGGAUUAGCUAGUUGGUGGGGUAAAGGCCUACCAAGGCGACGAUCCGUAACUGGUCUGAGAGGAUGAUCAGUCACACUGGAACUGAGACACGGUCCAGACUCCUACGGGAGGCAGCAGUGGGGAAUAUUGGACAAAGGGCGAAAGCCUGAUCCAGCCAUGCCGCGUGUGUGAAGAAGGUCUUCGGAUUGUAAAGCACUUUAAGUUGGGAGGAAGGGCAGUAAGUUAAUACCUUGCUGUUUUGACGUUACCAACAGAAUAAGCACCGGCUAACUUCGUG
rnacentral:rRNA from 1 species